AUGGAUUCCAGUGGAGAACAUAGCUUCUGGCCUUAUGGGCCAAGUGUUUGGCAUGAUAGUUACCUGCUUGAAGAGGAGACGCUCCUCUGCACUCUACCCUUCCCGAGCUACGGCUGCCAACCAUUGUGCUCUAUCAGCCCCGCUGUUGCGCAGAGCAGCAGUCUGCAAGCUCCCUGUCUUGUUCCUUGCGACACAGACGAGCUGGAUACAAGCUUUGAUGAUGAUCUGCUGAGGUGCUGGGAGGCUAUAGAGCAAUCUGAUGACAGCACAGAAGAGAGUGGGAAGGGGUUGCCACUACUGUGUUAUGGCGAGGUGAACGGAGCAGCUUCGAACGCCAUGAGAGCAGACCGCGUUAGAUCAGAGAGGGUGCUGACAUUCGAGCUCGUGUCACAGUACUUCUACAUGCCGAUCACGCAGGCGGCUCGAGAGCUGAACGUCGGGCUCACCGUCCUGAAGAAGAGGUGCAGGGAGCUUAGGAUUCCCAGGUGGCCGCAUCGCAAGCUGAAGAGCUUGCAGACCCUCAUCAACGACGUCGAGGUCCUGCAGGAGGCAGGCAAGGCGAACGACGACGGGCAGCUGAGGGCGAUGGUGGAGAUGCUGGAGCAGGAGAGGCGGCUCCUGGAGCAGAGGCCGUACGUUGAGCUCGAGGAGAAGACGAAGAGGCUUCGGCAGGCCUGCUUCAAGGCCAGCUACAAAAAGAGACGGCUCUUGGCUCUUGAACCUGGGGAGGCAUCCAAGUACUAUUGA
rnacentral:rRNA from 1 species